UCUCGGUUCCGGUUUCGUUUUUUUGGAACAAAAAAACCUCGGUUCGGUUUCGGUUAUUUUCAAAAAAGAAGAACAGUACAAAUGUAUGAACUCAUUUAUGUAUGUUUCAAGCAUUUUUACUAAAUAGAUGAAUUUAUGCCUUUGUAAGUUUGUAUAAAUCUCUGAAUAUUUUAAAAGAACAAUUGGAAUUUAUUUAUGAAGAUGUAAUAUUUCUUAGUUUUUAAAAAAAUUUAAAGCAA